CUUCUUUUUAGGUACCCAGCUAGACUUCGUUUCCAGCCACUCUGCUAUUACCUGGGGCCACAGGACUGACUUCUAGCCAGAGCAAGGUAGGCUCUAUGCCCUAUGUGGACCCCAGUGUGGGGUGUCAACUCAUGACCCCGAGAUCAAGACCUGAGCUGAGAUCAAGAGUCGGAUACCCAACUAACUGAGCCACCCAGGUGCCCCCAACCUCUACAAGAUCUUAAUUCAGCCACCUACUGGUGACACCCAUUUUAGGAACAGUUCUGAUUUUCUAUGAAGUGAAGAAACACAAAAGAACAAUAUUUUGAAAUGGACUAACUUCUGAAGUGAUUUGUGAGACCACAUCUGGAAAAGAAUUAUAGCAGAAAAAGCCCACAAACAAAUAUUUCAUCAAAGAAAUGUUGAACUGAAAAACAGCAUCACAUUCUGAUGACACUUGCUUACUUUCAUAUAUCCAUUCAAAGGAUAUUUAAAAAACCCAAGAUAUGAAUCGUCUGAUGACAUUUAAGACAAUGCAAAAAUAAAUUUAGAUCUAAAGUAUCACUG